rnacentral:rRNA from 1 species
CGGCGAGUGAAGCGGCAACAGCUCAAAUUUGAAAUCUGGCUCUUUCAGGGUCCGAGUUGUAAUUUGCAGAGGGCGCUUUGGCGUUGGCAGCGGUCCAAGUUCUUUGGAACAGGACGUCACAGAGGGUGAGAAUCCCGUACGUGGUCGCUAGCCUUCGCCGUGUAAAGCCCCUUCGACGAGUCGAGUUGUUUGGGAAUGCAGCUCUAAAUGGGAGGUAAAUUUCUUCUAAAGCUAAAUACUGGCCAGAGACCGAUAGCGCACAAGUAGAGUGAUCGAAAGAUGAAAAGCACUUUGGAAAGAGAGUCAAAUAGCACGUGAAAUUGUUGAAAGGGAAGCGCUUGCAGCCAGACUUGCCUGUAGUUGCUUAUCCGGACUUUUGUCCGGUGCACUCUUCUGCGGGCAGGCCAGCAUCAGUCUAGGCGGUUGGAUAAAGGUCUCUGUCAUGUACCUCUCUUCGGGGAGGCCUUAUAGGGGAGACGACAUGCAACCAGCCUGGACUGAGGUCCGCGCAUCUGCUAGGAUGCUGGCGUAAUGGCUGUAAGCGGCCCGUCUUGAAACACGGACCAAGGAGUCUAACAUCUAUGCGAGUGUUUGGGUGUCAAGCCCAGACGCGUAAUGAAAGUGAACGGAGGUGGGAACCCUUUGGGUGCACCAUCGACCGAUCCUGAUGUCUUCGGAUGGAUUUGAGUAAGAGCAUGGCUGUUGGGACCCGAAAGAUGGUGAACUAUGCUUGAAUAGGGUGAAGCCAGAGGAAACUCUGGUGGAGGCUCGCAGCGGUUCUGACGUGCAAAUCGAUCGUCAAAUUUGGGCAUAGGGGCGAAAGACUAAUCGAACUAUCUAGUAGCUGGUUCCUGCCGAAGUUUCCCUCAGGAUAGCAGUAACGUAUUCAGUUUUAUGAGGUAAAGCGAAUGAUUAGAGGCCUGGGGGUUGAAACAACCUUCACCUAUUCUCAAACUUUAAAUAUGUAAGAAGUCCUUGUU